UGUAUGAACGGUUAAAUGAGAGCAAAACUGUCUCCUGUAGCCAAUCAAUGAAAUUGAUCUCACAGUACAAACGCUGUGAUACAACUAUAAGACGAGAAGACCCUGUGGAGCUUUAAAUCAAUCACAUUAACUAACCAAACUUACUAUUAGUAUAAUGUAUAUUUUAAGUUGGGGCGACUACGGAGUAAAAAAAAACCUCCGUGAAACACGAUUAAACCUCGUAACUAAGGCUUACAAGCCUAACCAAACCACGACCCAGUCAAACUGAUCAUCGAACCAAGUUACCCCAGGGAUAACAGCGCCAUCCCCUUAAAGAGUUCACAUCGCCAAGGG
rnacentral:rRNA from 1 species